rnacentral:rRNA from 1 species
CCUAUAAGACGAGAAGACCCCAUGGAGCUUCAAACCCAACUACACCCCUAACUUCUAUAACCCCCACCCCACGGGACCCUGUAUAGUUGGUUUUAGGUUGGGGCAACCACGGAGCACAACAAAGCCUCCACAAUGAAUGGGACCACCCCCCUUAUCUAAGAGCCACACCCCUAGGAAUUAAAACAUUAAUAUAAAAUGAUCCAUUAUUUGAUCAAUGAACCAAGUUACCCUGGGGAUAA